GGAUGAACGCUGGCGGCGUGCCUAAUACAUGCAAGUCGAGCGAGCAGACGAGGAGCUUGCUCCUCUGACGUUAGCGGCGGACGGGUGAGUAACACGUGGAUAACCUACCUAUAAGACUGGGAUAACUUCGGGAAACCGGAGCUAAUACCGGAUAAUAUAUUGAACCGCAUGGUUCAAUAGUGAAAGACGGUUUUGCUGUCACUUAUAGAUGGAUCCGCGCCGCAUUAGCUAGUUGGUAAGGUAACGGCUUACCAAGGCAACGAUGCGUAGCCGACCUGAGAGGGUGAUCGGCCACACUGGAACUGAGACACGGUCCAGACUCCUACGGGAGGCAGCAGUAGGGAAUCUUCCGCAAUGGGCGAAAGCUUGACGGAGCAACGCCGCGUGAGUGAUGAAGGUCUUCGGAUCGUAAAACUCUGUUAUUAGGGAAGAACAAAUGUGUAAGUAACUAUGCACGUCUUGACGGUACCUAAUCAGAAAGCCACGGCUAACUACGUG
rnacentral:rRNA from 1 species